AGCUCCAAUAGCGUAUAUUAAAGUUGUUGCGGUUAAAAAGCUCGUAGUUGGAUUUCUGCUGAAGCAAACCGGUCCGCCCUCUGGGUGAGUAUCUGGCUUUACUUUGGCAUAUGCCCAGACUUUGCAGCUGCACUUGACUGUGUGGUGUAAAGGCUGAGCCGUUUACUUUGAGGAAAUCAGAGUGCUUCAAGCAGGCAAUUGCCUUGAAUACAUUAGCAUGGAAUAAUGCGACAGGACCUCGGUCCA
rnacentral:rRNA from 1 species